rnacentral:rRNA from 1 species
UACGUAGGGGGCUAGCGUUAUCCGGAAUUACUGGGUGUAAAGGGAGCGCAGACGGAACUGCAAGUCUGAUGUGAAAGCCCGGGGCUCAACCGCGGGACUGCAUCGGAUACUGUGGAUCUGGAGUGCCGGAGGGGCAAGCGGAAUUCCUGGUGUAGCGGUGAAAUGCGUAGAUAUCAGGAGGAACACCGGCGGCGAAGGCGGCUUGCUGGACGGCAACUGACGUUGAGGCUCGAAAGCGUGGGGAGCAAACAGGAUUAGAUACCCU